rnacentral:rRNA from 1 species
CGUCCUUUCUUUCGGAGCUCUCCGCUGCUCUUAGCUGAGCGGUGGAGGGAGACGGAUCGUUUACUUUGAAAAAAUCAGAGUGUUUCAAGCAGGCAGCUCGCUCUUGCAUGGAUUAGCAUGGGAUAAUGAAAUAGGACUCUGGUGCUAUUUUGUUGGUUUCGAACACCGGAGUAAUGGUCAACAGGGACAGUCAGGGGCACUCGUAUUCCGCCGAGAGAGGUGAAAUUCUCAGACCAGCGGAAGACGAACCACUGCGAAAGCAUUUGCCAGGGAUGUUUUCACUGAUCAAGAACGAAAGUUAGGGGAUCGAAGACGAUCAGAUACCGUCGUAGUCUUAACCAUAAACCAUGCCGACUAGGGAUUGGGGGCUGUUCCUUUUGUGACUCCCUCAGCACCUUUCGGGAAACUAAAGUCUUUGGGUUCCGGGGGGAGUAUGGUCGCAAGGCUGAAACUUAAAGGAAUUGACGGAAGGGCACCACCAGGAGUGGAGCCUGCGGCUUAAUUUGACUCAACACGGGGAAACUUACCAGGUCCAGACAUUGUGAGGAUUGACAGAUUGAGAGCUCUUUCUUGAUUCGAUGGGUGGUGGUGCAUGGCCGUUCUUAGUUGGUGGAGUGAUUUGUCUGGUUAA